CCCGGCAGCAGAGUUGGGCCCAGAGUCCACCUGUCCGGUCCAGGCGUGACAGCAGCAGCAGGACAGGAGUGAGGGCUGAGAGACCCAGGCAAAGGGAGACACCUCCAAGGACAUCUCCCAGACACCGCCGCUCCCGGCAGCAGGGUUGGGCCCAGAGUCAACGUGUCCGGUCCAGGAGUCGGCGUGACAGCAGCAGCAGCAGGACAGGGCUGAGGGCUGAGGGGCCCAGGCCGGGGGAGACAUGGUCAGGGACGUCCCCCAGACGCAGCCGGUCCCGCCUGCAGCGCCGCGCCUCGGAUCCACCUGUGCAGUCCAGGAGUGGCCAGGACAGCAGCAGGAGGACAGCAGCGCAUGCUGAGAGUCCAAGGCGCAGGGGGACACCGUCGGGGACGUCCCGCAGGAGCAGCCGCUCCCGCCAGCGACGUCGGGCCUCAAGUGGCACCUCCAACAGCAGCACGUAGCGCCAUCUUUUCUUUCUAGUCCAUGGGUUCGCUGCCGGAAGUGAAGGUGAGAACGGUCAGCACAGGGCCCCUGAGAUUUGCAGGUCUGUGAGAAAACCCUGUUAGCUCUUGACAUUUCUACCGGCAGGAAAGAGGUCUGUGCUAAAUACCUUGAUUUCUGUGUAACCCUGUAUUCAGUGACAAGUCCCUUAAGGAUGUGGCUAAUGGAAAAGGACUCUUGCUCCUGCCUUUAGACUCCAGCCUCAGAUGUUUCCCCACUGCUUAGCCUUGAAAGUGAACCACUCCUUAAUGGGCUUGGGUCCGGUUAGGGAGACGUUCAGAGCAAGGUGGCUCCUGAGGAAGCUGUCUUUGGAAAGGACGUGUGCUGUGUUGCUAUCCUUGAGCAAUCUCCCUUCAGGAAAGCCAAAAGGAAGAAGAAAGAAGAGAGUGAGACACUGUCUCAAGUGUCUGAAGAAAACAAUUCCAAUGUUGCUGCUGAUUUGAAAGACUUGAUUGGACCUUCAAAGAACAAAGCAGUAAAGAGUGUGGAAAUACCCUGGGACAAAGAGGACGCACAGGACUCUGGCCCAGAUGACCAUUUGGGACCUUUGACUGAGAAGGACGCAGCUCAGGAGUGGAGUGCUUUCAAGUUUUCCUUCUUUGGAGACACAGAGCAGUUGGGCAUCAAAGAAGGAAUUCGGGAAGGCAUGCUUCGAGAAGGCACUGGGUACUUUGCAAAAUGGUGGAAAAGCUUGUUGUCAUGCCCUGAAUUCCUCAAAGAGGGAAAAAGAGCCUUACGUACUUGGAACAACAAAACCGGUACAAGUCACGUGGCAAGAGGAUCGACGUGUCCAAGACUGCAGUUCUGAGGGUGAAGAGGAGCCCCAGAUGUCAGAAAUUGAAAAGGACUGAGAAAUGUUUCUUUCUUUACCACACACAGAAAGUGCUAGAGUUUGCUUCUCCGACGAUGAUGAACGCCUAAGAGGUAGGACGGAAUUUCUUCAUCCCCUUUUGGAUUUCUUUCCCUUCUGAACCUUUCCUGGACUAGUUAUGAAUGUUUUCUAGCAAAAUUUGCCACCCUUACUUGUGGCCAAAAUAGUGGUGGAAUCCCAUGAGCACGUCCUGGUAAAAUAGAGGUCAAGCAGAUUUCUGGCUUACUUUUCUUUCAGAUAUUUGGCUAAUAGGAACCUGGACUUUUAGAGCUUAUCAAAAACUUAGUCACUUGACAGGUUACCUAGACAGUUUGGAUCCCUUCAGGUAUGUGUAGCAUCUUGAACUUUUUCCUGCCUUUCUUUCGGGUGUUACCAUCAGGAAUGUUGAGUUUGGCUUGUAUGUGCCUGUGGUUCUUUGUCCUCAUGAAUCUGGGGCUUUCUCUUCUGAAUCCAGUGAAUUUGGUGUUUAGAAACAAAGCAAACAACAACAAAAGGGAAAACACACAGUCCCCAAAACCUGCACAGGCCUCCAGAACAAUUGCUUGUUAUAUUUUGUAGAAUAUAUAGUCUUAAGACAGGCUCAAAGGCUGUGCCUUUCUUGAGACUGAUUAGGUAACUCUGAGGCAAGGUACUGCUGUGUUCAUGCAGUUACCGGCCUGCAAUCUCCCCGCCUGUCUGAUUUACAGGGUGUGUUGAAACGGAGAGCUCAGUCCUCAGCAGGCCUCAGUGCUGGGGAGGAUGCAGGGUCCUGGUGCUGAGCUUCUAAGGGAACGGCUGCUAUUUCUCUGCAAUUUAGAUUGCAGCAUGUUGAGGAGAACUGCUGCUGCCUUUCAUUGUUCUUAGUACACCAGGCUGCAGCAGGGAGCAUUUCUGUUGGAGCCAACGUGUGGUGGGGGGCAGGAGAACAGGAAGGAUGAGGAGAAUUGAUUUCUGACUUUCUUACUGCCCUGUUCAUGAUUGUUAGAAGCAGCAGCACAAUCAGAAGUGUUUAACCCUAUUAAUUGGUUGUUUGUUUUGUGCACAGGAGCCAAAGUUAUUUUGUAGAUUACUAGAGCUCAGUGAAGAGAAAGAGGGUUAGGAAGAGAGACUUAGAUUAUUGCUAGAGGUGAGUAUGGAACGUCUGUUCCCUGGUAGCUCUAGGCGAAAGCUGAGCAUGGGGAGGGAAUGCAGGUAUGAAUGUGCAUGCCAAAUUAAUUUGGGACCUCAAGAAGAGCUUGAAACUUUUUAUUGACCAGGAAACAAAAGCUUUGUAGUCUACCGCUGUGUAUAACGCCCUGUUGUAUUGUCCAGUAAUGUAAAGCACGGCAUCUCUGUAUUUUACAGGAGCAGCACCUUAACUAUCUGUAAGGAAUGUAUUUAAGAGAUAGAGAGAAUUUAGAGACUUCUCUUAAUAGUGGAAUAGGAAACUUCUCCGAAGACUUUGUUAGAUUUUCAUUAUAUUCUGGAACGCCGAAGGAAGCAUAAGGAUACCAAAUAGAAAGUGCAAGCAAACCAAUAAACCUUUUACUGAUUGGAA